UUUAGAUAUAUAGAUAUAUAUAUUCUAAAAAUGGUUAAAUAAAUCAUAAGCACCACCACCCUGUCUACCGACAUUCACAGUGAGAGUUGUUAAAGACUUAAAUAUUCCUCAUGACUCGUGAGGUUUGGUUGGAUUAAUUCCGGUCGGUCGGUGUAAAUUAAUUCCUCGGGGAUACUGUUUUGCUGAUUGAACAAUUAAGUUGGGGGGAGGUGGAUGUGUAUAAAUUUAAUUCUUGGUAUCACUAUCCUUUCAUUUUCCCGUGACUAGCCAACAAGACUAGGCUGGUCCAGUUUUCUGUUGGCUGGGGAGGGGUAUCAAGAAUGUCGUUUGUGGAUCUGAAGGACACAAUGGAGUGAAUAGCAUCAUUUUCUUGUGCUAGAAAAACAACCAAGAAAUCUACAAAACAGAGGGAGCCAGUGGUCAGCCAACACAACUUGGAACGAUUCAUCUCCCGUAGAUGUUAAAAAUGUCAGACGAUCAUGAAAAUGAGGCACGUAGUGACCACUUCCAACCCUGCAUUUGAAAGUAUAUGAGCACCAUUAGGGGCAAAAUCUUGUCAGCGUACGAUCUUUUAUAAUUUCCUGUAGAGAAAAUGUUAGUAGUUUAGCAGUUGCAAUUUUUCUUUAAAUCAGAAGUCAGAUCAGAAAUUAUCAAAUAAAAGUUUCAUAGAACACUGUUUUCUGAAAUCGGAUUUACUGAGAACUUGCAUAUGCAUAUAUGGUU